GAUGAACGCUGGCGGCGUGCUUAACACAUGCAAGUCGAACGGAGAGCUAUUGACGGAGUUUUCGGACAACGGAUAUAGUUUCUUAGUGGCGGACGGGUGAGUAACGCGUGAGUAACCUGCCUUCAAGAGGGGAAUAACGUUCUGAAAAGAACGCUAAUACCGCAUAACAUACGGAUGUCGCAUGGCAACCGUACCAAAGAUUUUAUCGCUUGAAGAUGGACUCGCGUCCGAUUAGCUAGUAGGCGGGGUAACGGCCCACCUAGGCGACGAUCAGUAGCCGGACUGAGAGGUUGACCGGCCACAUUGGGACUGAGACACGGCCCAG
rnacentral:rRNA from 1 species